rnacentral:rRNA from 1 species
GACGAACGCUGGCGGCGUGCCUAAUACAUGCAAGUUGAGCGCUGAAGGUUGGUACUUGUACCGACUGGAUGAGCAGCGAACGGGUGAGUAACGCGUGGGGAAUCUGCCUUUGAGCGGGGGACAACAUUUGGAAACGAAUGCUAAUACCGCAUAAAAACUUUAAACACAAGUUUUAAGUUUGAAAGAUGCAAUUGCAUCACUCAAAGAUGAUCCCGCGUUGUAUUAGCUAGUUGGUGAGGUAAAGGCUCACCAAGGCGAUGAUACAUAGCCGGCCUGAGAGGGUGAUCGGCCAGAUUGGGACUGAGACACGGCCCAAAGGCCUACGGGAGGCAGCAGUAGGGAAUCUUCAGCAAUGGACGAAAGACUGAGCAAGCAACGCCGCGUGAGGGAAGAAGGUUUUCGGAUCGUAAAACUCUGUUGGUAGAGAAGAACGUUGGUGAGAGUGGAAAGCUCAUCAAGUGACGGUAACUACCCAGAAAGGGACGGCUAACUACGUG